rnacentral:piRNA from 1 species
UGUUGACCUCUUCGAACCAGGAC